AGAGUUUGAUCCUGGCUCAGGAUGAACGCUGGCGGCGUGCCUAAUACAUGCAAGUCGAGCGAACGGACGAGAAGCUUGCUUCUCUGAUGUUAGCGGCGGACGGGUGAGUAACACGUGGAUAACCUACCUAUAAGACUGGGAUAACUUCGGGAAACCGGAGCUAAUACCGGAUAAUAUUUUGAACCGCAUGGUUCAAAAGUGAAAGACGGUCUUGCUGUCACUUAUAGAUGGAUCCGCGCUGCAUUAGCUAGUUGGUAAGGUAACGGCUUACCAAGGCAACGAUGCAUAGCCGACCUGAGAGGGUGAUCGGCCACACUGGAACUGAGACACGGUCCAGACUCCUACGGGAGGCAGCAGUAGGGAAUCUUCCGCAAUGGGCGAAAGCCUGACGGAGCAACGCCGCGUGAGUGAUGAAGGUCUUCGGAUCGUAAAACUCUGUUAUUAGGGAAGAACAUAUGUGUAAGUAACUGUGCACAUCUUGACGGUACCUAAUCAGAAAGCCACGGCUAACUACGUGCCAGCAGCCGCGGUAAUACGUAGGUGGCAAGCGUUAUCCGGAAUUAUUGGGCGUAAAGCGCGCGUAGGCGGUUUUUUAAGUCUGAUGUGAAAGCCCACGGCUCAACCGUGGAGGGUCAUUGGAAACUGGAAAACUUGAGUGCAGAAGAGGAAAGUGGAAUUCCAUGUGUAGCGGUGAAAUGCGCAGAGAUAUGGAGGAACACCAGUGGCGAAGGCGACUUUCUGGUCUGUAACUGACGCUGAUGUGCGAAAGCGUGGGGAUCAAACAGGAUUAGAUACCCUGGUAGUCCACGCCGUAAACGAUGAGUGCUAAGUGUUAGGGGGUUUCCGCCCCUUAGUGCUGCAGCUAACGCAUUAAGCACUCCGCCUGGGGAGUACGACCGCAAGGUUGAAACUCAAAGGAAUUGACGGGGACCCGCACAAGCGGUGGAGCAUGUGGUUUAAUUCGAAGCAACGCGAAGAACCUUACCAAAUCUUGACAUCCUUUGACAACUCUAGAGAUAGAGCCUUCCCCUUCGG
rnacentral:rRNA from 1 species